rnacentral:lncRNA from 1 species
AAAUAAAAAAAUAAAGAAUAAUUAGUAAGAUGAAAGAGUGCAACAUCCUCUCAAAUAGUGCAACAAGCUCUUCAAAAUAGUGCAAUAUCUGUAUAAGUAGUGCAACAUACGCAUUGUUAAUACACAUUUUACAUAAUUUUUACACUAAAUUACAUACAGUUUAAUAUAUUACGCGAAAAUAAUAUGCAACAUAUAAUAUAAUAAACUGUAUGUAAUUAAUUUAGUGUAAAAAUCAUACAAAAUGUGUAUUAAUAAUGCAUAUGUUGCACUAUUUAUAUAGAUAUUGCACUAUUUUGAAGAGCUUGUUACACUAUUUGAUAGGAUGUUGCACUCUUUCAUCUUAUUAAUUAUUCUUUAUUCUUUUUAUUUUUUCUUGAAUGAGGCUUCUCGUUUCACGAGAAAGGUACAUGCAUGUAAUUAUGACUUAGCAGUUGUCAUUUUCAAGAAGUUUUACACUUCAUUUAAUAUGCAAUGAAAUUUAAUUUUUAAAAAGAAAGAGUGCAACACACAUCUAAAUGGUGCAACAUCCUCUCAUAAUAGUACAACAUUUACACAAAUGGUGUAAAUAUAUGUAUAAAUAGUGUAAAAUAUGCACCGUUUGUACAUAUAUUGUAUAAUUUUUAUAAUAUAUUGUAAUAUAUUAUAUUAUUUUCGCAUAAUAUACUAAACUGUACGUAACUUAGUGUAAAAAUCAUACAAAAUGUGUAUUAACAGUGCAUAUGUUGCACUAAUUAUACAGAUAUUGCACUAUUUUGAAGAGAUUGUUGCACUAUUUGAGAGGAUAUUGCACUCUUUCAUCUUAUUAAUUAAUCUUUAUUUUUUUUUAUUUUCUCUUGAAUGAGGUUUCUCGUUUCACGAGAAAGAUACAUGUAUGUAAUUAUGGCUUAGCAGUUGUCAUUUCCAAGAAGUUUGACACUUUAUUUAAUAUGCAAUGAAAUUUAAUUUUUAAAAAGAAAGAGUGCAAUAUACAUCUAAAUAGUGCAACAUUCUCUCAUAAUAGUGCAACAUUUAUAGAAAUGGUGUAAAUAUAUGUAUAAAUAGUGUAAAAUAUGCACCGUUUGUACAUAUAUUGUAUAAUUUUUAAAAUAUAUUGUAAUAUAUUAUAUUAUUUUUAUGUAAUAUACUAAACUGUACGUAACUUAGUGUAAAAAUCAUACAAAAUAUGUAUUAAGAAUGCAUAUGUUGCACUACUUAUACAGAUAUUGCACUAUUUUGAAAAAAUUGUUGCAUUAUUUGAGAGAAUAUUGCACUCUUUCAUCUUAUUAAUUAAUAUUUAUUUUUUUUAUUUUUUCUUGAAUGAGGUUUCUUGUUUUACAAGAAAGAUACAUGCAUAUAAUUAUGGCUUAGCAGUUGUCAUUUCCAAGAAGUUUUAUACAUAAUGACUUUGUAGUUGUAUUUUUCUAGACAUUUAAAGUUUAUAACUUUUAUGAAUUUUGAAAGAGGGGUAGUUUGGUCAUCCUUCUGAAAAUUCGGCUCGAAUCUGUAAAAACUAAAAAGGUGGCCCACUUUUACAAAAGCGCAAAAUUAGUGGAUUUUUUAUGCAAAUUGG